GGGGCUGAGUUGGUUUUGACAGCGGGUAAAACUGGUAUGUAAGCAUGUCGAGCGUUGGGGUUCCGGCUCGUUAAUCCCGGGUCUCAGAAUUAUAAUUGGCAAUACUAACUUUGCUCUCGCUGCAUAAUCCGGCAGAAGUCGGAUUGGCUUAAUCCCGUUACAAGGUAACGGGACGAGACAUCUCCGGGGGCUUUGUUCCCUAUCGGGUUCCCGCCAGGAGGUGCAGUAAGAAUGGGAUAGUCACCGGAGGGGUUGUGACUCCGGGGCGAAGCACAACCGCAACUAAGGCAUUGAUUGGUCGCCUGUCGCCGGCCGUUGCCCGACAAUCAAGCACAGGCUAAGCAUGUAGAAAGCGUAUGGGUUUCUCGUUUGGACCGGGGUUCGAACCCCCGCAGCUCCAC
rnacentral:tmRNA from 1 species